GGUGCUUUUGUUGCAUGGAGGAGGUCUAAAGAAACGAUCGGCUCACUCUCUCACUCUCUGUCGCGGCCGAACCCAGAAAAGAAAAGAAAAACAGAGCAAGUGUUCUUCAAGCUUGUUCUUCCACCACAGGCCAUCAAACGACACCGGACAACCUCCAGUAGAUUCGCCUCAGCCUUGCGAAGCAACCUGUAGCAGUCUUGGGUCUCGGCUCAGCCGGGAACGGCGGCGAAGGGAUAGAGUUCGUACGGCCCGAUUUGGUUCCAAGAAUGGUGACUCGAGCUACCGGCCACGAAACCUUCCCAAACUUCAUCCACAGGUUCGCCUUGACCUUCUGAAGCUCCCAGAACCACCCUUUCACGGCGGCGCUGCCUCUGGAAGCGGCUGGAACUUGAACCCGGUUGCACCCGAAACCUUCGAUCAGAAGGGAUCGAGGCCUGAGGUUGCAGUUUUUACGUCGAACUAGGAGCUCGCCGGUUUCUGGGUUUUUUCCGGCCAACCCGACUGGUUUGAGGUGAUUAACGGUUUUUACUUGGGCGAGCGAGUUUUGGUGUGUUUGUGAAAGUGAAGACGCAGCGGGAUAAGAGUACACUAUUCAAAUUGUGUAGCGGGAAAUCCUGCAGGUCAGGAGAAUCAGGGAGGUGAUCGUACGGGAUAGAAUCUUGUUUUUGGCUUGAUUGCGUUUUUAGUAAAUUGUGAGUUUAGUUUUAUUUGUUUCGAACCACAUAAUUUGGAUUUUGUGAGAGUGUGUUGUAAUAAGAAUUGAGGAGUUGGGUUUUGUAAUAUUGAGUGGAGUGUGGUGUCACUGUGUGUUACUCUGAAAGAAAAAAAAAUAGACUGGUAUUUGUAUUUGUA